UGAGUACGAGAUGCUACGGCGUCGAAGCAGUCUAGGUCAUACUUCCAAGAAAAGCUUGCACUGUCAUAAACAAAGAAUGCCUGUACCAUAACCGACACAGGUGGGUAGGUAGAGUAUACUAAGGGGCGCGAGAUAACUCUCUCUAAGGAACUCGGCAAAAUGACUCCGUAACUUCGGGAGAAGGAGUGCCUUAUUUUUAAGGUUGCAAUAACAAGAUCCAAGCAACUGUUUACCAAAAACACAGGUCUCCGCUAAGUCGUAAGACGAUGUAUGGGGGCUGACGCCUGCCCAGCGCCAGAAGGUUAAAGAAGUUGGUUAGCAUUUGCGAAGCUGAUAACUGAAGCCCUGGUGAACGGCGGCCGUAACAAUAACGGUCCUAAGGUAGCGAAAUUCCUUGUCGGGUAAGUUCCGACCCGCACGAAAGGCGUAAUGAUUUGGAUACUGUCUCGGAGAGGGGCUCGGUGAAAUAGACUUGUCUGUGAAGAUGCGGACUACCUGCACCUGGACAGAAAGACCCUAUGAAGCUUUACUGUAACUUGAGAUUGAAAUUGGACUUUAUUUGCGCAGUAUAGGUGGGAGGCGUUGAGAAUAAUCUUGCGGGAUUAUCGGAGCCAUCAGUGAGAUACCACUCUUGUAAUGUUAGAUUUCUAACUUUGUAUCAUUAUCUGGUCAAAGAACAGUUUCAGGCGGGCAGUUUGACUGGGGCGGUCGCCUCCCAAAGGGUAACGGAGGCGCACAAAGGUUUCCUCUGAACGGGUAGAAAUCGUAUCUAGAGUGUAAAGGCAUAAGGAAGCUUGACUGUGAGACCUACAAGUCGAGCAGGGACGAAAGUCGGUCUUAGUGAUCUGACGGUGCUGAGUGGAAAGGCCGUCACUCAACGGAUAAAAGUUACUCUAAGGAUAACAGGCUGAUCUCCCCCAAGAGUUCACAUCGACGGGGAGGUUUGGCACCUCGAUGUCGGCUCAUCGCAUCCUGGGGCGGUAGUACGUCCCAAGGGUUGGGCUGUUCGCCCAUGAAAGCGGUACGCGAGCUGGGUUCAGAACGUCGUGAGACAGUUCGGUCCAUAUCCGGUGUAGGCGUUAGAAUAUUGAAAGGAGCCUUCUCUAGUACGAGAGGACCGAGAAGGACAUACCUUUGGUGUGCCAGUUAUCGUGCCAACGGUAAACGCUGGGUAGCUGUGUAUGGAGUGGAUAACCGCUGAAAGCAUCUAAGUGGGAAGCCCACCUUAAGAUAAGUAUUCUCAC
rnacentral:rRNA from 1 species